UACGUAGGUGGCAAGCGUUGUCCGGAUUUACCGGGCGUAAAGAGCGCGCAGGCGGUCGGAUUAGUCGCGUGUGAAAGCCCCCGGCUCAACUGGGGAGGGUCACGCGAUACUGUUCGACUCGAAGGCAGGAGAGGGAAGUGGAAUUCCCGGUGUAGUGGUGAAAUGCGUAGAUAUCGGGAGGAACACCAGUGGCGAAGGCGACUUCCUGGCCUGUUCUUGACGCUGAGGCGCGAAAGCUAGGGUAGCAAACGGG
rnacentral:rRNA from 1 species